rnacentral:snoRNA from 3 species
UGGACUAUUGCAGAGGAAAGUCAGGGCCAUGCUGUUCAGAUAUCGUUGAAAGAUAUCUUUUUGAAAGAAAGGAUCACAAGGAGGAAGCUCUGUGUUCUCUCCUGAGCAUGAAGCUGUCUUUAGAUGUUGCUUCUGCAACUGCCUAUUGCCAUUGAUGAUUGUACUUUUCCUCCUUUGGAGGAGUUAAGAGGAAGAGGAGACAGUCUGAGUGGU